GUGCGGGAGUACUUGAAACGAGUGAAGGCAAACGAUGAUUACAACCGUCAGAUGAUGACGGCUAUGUUGGCGUCUUGGACUAACCGCACGGAUCCACCACAAAUGGGACCCCCACCACCACCUGCGGGAGAACCCCCACACGUGCCCACGUUCGAUGAAUGGGUGGCACUAGGCAGUGAUGGUCCGGGGACCGGUGGCUCGACUCCUGCUCCGUCGACCCCAGUCACUCCGAUCUGGCAGAGUGGUGGUGGUCGCGAUGGCGGUUUUGGCGGAGGUGGU